rnacentral:tRNA from 1 species
GGGGUGAUGGCGUAGUUGGGAGCGCGUUCGACUGAAGAUAUCACAAGGUAUCAGCAGAUAAUCGGAAGGUCGCUGGUUCGAUCCCGGCUCACCCCA